rnacentral:rRNA from 1 species
UACGUAGGUGGCAAGCGUUGUCCGGAUUUACUGGGCGUAAAGAGCGCGCAGGCGGUCGUCCAAGUCGCGUGUGAAAGCCCCCGGCUCAACUGGGGAGGGUCACGCGAUACUGAUCGACUCGAAGGCAGGAGAGGGAAGCGGAAUUCCCGGUGUAGUGGUGAAAUGCGUAGAUAUCGGGAGGAACACCAGUGGCGAAGGCGGCUUCCUGGCCUGUUCUUGACGCUGAGGCGCGAAAGCGUGGGGAGCAAACAGG